ACAAAUCAGGACGCUUAGAGUAUGGCCACAUGAAUGACUCAGCGCAGUAUGAAGUCUUUGUUUUCUUCCGAAAACAAGCUCAAUGAGAGCCAUCGGGGGUAGAUCUAUCUCAUGACGAGUGGUGGAAUACUUUGACUCAUGAGAGAGAAGCUGAGGCGAAGGCGUCUACCUAGAGGGUUUCUGUCGAUCAAGGGCGAGAGUAGGAGUAUCCAACAGGAUUAGAGACCCUGGUAGUUCCUACCUUAAACGAUGCCGACAGGAGUUUGUCAUUUGUUAAUGGCAGAAUCUUUGGAGAAAUCAUAGUUCUUGGGCUCUGGGGGAACUACGACCGCAAGGCUGAAACUUGAAGGAAUUGACGGAAGGGCACACCAGGGGUGGAGCCUGUGGCUUAAUUUGAAUCAACACGGGGAAACUUACCAGGACCAGAUGUUUUUUAUGACUGACAGGCUUCGGGUCUUUCAGGAUAUUGUUUUUGGUGGUGCAUGGCCGUUGGUGGUGCGUGGGUUGACCUGUCUAGCGUUGAUUCAGCUAACGAGCGAGAUUAUCGCCAAUUAUUUACUUUGCCGAAGUCCUUCGGUUAAAGUUCUAAUUGGGACUCCCUGCGAUUUUAGCAGGUGGAAGAGGGUAGCAAUAACAGGUCCGUGAUGCCCUUUAGAUGCUCUGGGCUGCACGCGUGCUACAAUGUUAGGAUCAAUAGGACUGCGAGCCUGAGAGGGUGCGCUACUCUUAUAAUCCCUAACGUAGUUGGGAUUGACGUUUGUAAUCAGCGUCAUGAACCAGGAAUCCCUUGUAAAUGUGUGUCAACAACGCACGUUGAAUACGUCCCUGCCCUUUGUACACACCGCCCGUCGCUCCUACCGAUUGGAUGACUUCGGUGAAAAUCACCGGAUGCUUACGAGCAGAAAAGUGAAUUAAAAUCACG
rnacentral:ncRNA from 2 species